rnacentral:rRNA from 1 species
AUACGGGAGGCAGCAGUUAAGAAUCUUGCGCAAUGGGCGCAAGCCUGACGCAGCGACGCCGCGUGGACGAUGAAGGCCUUCGGGUUGUAAAGUCCGUUAAGCAGGGAAGAAUAAGUUUCGAUUAAUACUCGGAACGAUGACGGUACCUGCCUAAAGCCCCGGCUAACUACGUGCCAGCAGCCGCGGUAAUACGUAUGGGGCGAGCGUUGUUCGGAAUUAUUGGGCGUAAAGGGCGUCUAGGCGGGGGAUUAAGUUAGGUGUGAAAGCCAUGGGCUCAACCCAUGAAUUGCACCUAAAACUGGUUUUCUUGAGUUCGGGAGAGGAGAGCGGAAUUCCUGGUGUAGCGGUGAAAUGCGUAGAUAUCAGGAAGAACACCUGUGGCGAAGGCGGCUCUCUGGCCCAGAACUGACGCUGAAGCGCGAAAGCGUGGGGAGCGAACGGGAUUAGAUACCCCGGU